rnacentral:rRNA from 1 species
GACGAACGCUGGCGGCGUGCUUAACACAUGCAAGUCGAACGAAGAGCGAUGGAAGCUUGCUUCUAUCAAUCUUAGUGGCGAACGGGUGAGUAACGCGUAAUCAACCUGCCCUUCAGAGGGGGACAACAGUUGGAAACGACUGCUAAUACCGCAUACGAUCCAAUCUCGGCAUCGGGACUGGAUGAAAGGUGGCCUCUAUUUAUAAGCUAUCACUGCAGGAGGGGAUUGCGUCUGAUUAGCUAGUUGGAGGGGUAACGGCCCACCAAGGCGAUGAUCAGUAGCCGGUCUGAGAGGAUGAUCGGCCACAUUGGGACUGAGACACGGCCCAGACUCCUACGGGAGGCAGCAGUGGGGAAUCUUCCGCAAUGGACGAAAGUCUGACGGAGCAACGCCGCGUGAGUGAUGACGGCCUUCGGGUUGUAAAGCUCUGUUAAUCGGGACGAAUGGUUCUUGUGCGAAUAGUGCGAGGAUUUGACGGUACCGGAAUAGAAAGCCACGGCUAACUACGUG